GGCGGACGGGUGAGUAACGCGUGGGAACCUGCCCUUCUCUGCGGAAUAGCCACUGGAAACGGUGAGUAAUACCGCAUACGCCCUACGGGGGAAAGAUUUAUCGGAGAAGGAUCGGCCCGCGUUAGAUUAGGUAGUUGGUGGGGUAAUGGCCUACCAAGCCUACGAUCUAUAGCUGGUUUGAGAGGAUGAUCAGCCACUCUGGGACUGAGACACGGCCCAGACUCCUCCGGGAGGCAGCAGUGGGGAAUCUUAGACAAUGGGCGCAAGCCUGAUCUAGCCAUGCCGCGUGAGUGAUGAAGGCCUUAGGGUCGUAAAGCUAUUUCGCUGGGGAAGAUAAUGACUGUACCCAGUAAAGAAACCCCGGCUAACUCCGUGCCAGCAGCCGCGGUAAUACGGAGGGGGUUAGCGAUGUUCGGAAUUACUGGGCGUAAAGCGCGCGUAGGAGGAUCAGAAAGUUGGGGGUGAAAUCCCGGGGCUCAACCUCGGAACUGCCUCCAAAACUCCUGGUCUUGAGUUCGAGAGAGGUGAGUGGAAUUCAGAGUGUAGAGGUGAAAUUCGUAGAUAUUCGGAGGAACACCAGUGGCGAAGGCGGCUCA
rnacentral:rRNA from 1 species